rnacentral:ncRNA from 1 species
GGAUAGAGGUUGCGUAUUCUAAUAGUAACUCAUGGGAUGCAGCAGAGCAGGUGAGCAUGAGAGAAAGGAGGAUACGCCGAAAGGGUGUAUGACUGCAGCAUAUUUCCUUGGGCAUAAGUUUAAGAGGCUUAUGACUGUCAUCUUGGAGAAGAUGGGGCGCUAUC